rnacentral:rRNA from 1 species
UAGGGAAUCUUCGGCAAUGGACGAAAGUCUGACCGAGCAACGCCGCGUGAGUGAAGAAGGUUUUCGGAUCGUAAAACUCUGUUGUUAGAGAAGAACAAGGACGUUAGUAACUGAACGUCCCCUGACGGUAUCUAACCAGAAAGCCACGGCUAACUACGUGCCAGCAGCCGCGGUAAUACGUAGGUGGCAAGCGUUGUCCGGAUUUAUUGGGCGUAAAGCGAGCGCAGGCGGUUUCUUAAGUCUGAUGUGAAAGCCCCCGGCUCAACCGGGGAGGGUCAUUGGAAACUGGGAGACUUGAGUGCAGAAGAGGAGAGUGGAAUUCCAUGUGUAGCGGUGAAAUGCGUAGAUAUAUGGAGGAACACCAGUGGCGAAGGCGGCUCUCUGGUCUGUAACUGACGCUGAGGCGCGAGAGCGUGGGGAGCAAACAGG